rnacentral:tRNA from 1 species
AGGGGUGUGAUUCAGUGGUAGGAUGCCUGUCUAGCAUGUGUGUGGGACCCUAGGUUCAAUUCCUAGCACUGCAA